AACGCUAGCUACAGGCUUAACACAUGCAAGUCGAGGGGCAGCAUUGGAGUAGCAAUACUUCAGAUGGCGACCGGCGCACGGGUGAGUAACACGUAUCCAACCUGCCGCUUACUCGGGGAUAGCCUUUCGAAAGAAAGAUUAAUACCCGAUGGUAUAAAGAGUUCGCAUGUUCUCUUUAUUAAAGAAUUUCGGUAAGCGAUGGGGAUGCGUUCCAUUAGAUAGUUGGCGGGGUAACGGCCCACCAAGUCUACGAUGGAUAGGGGUUCUGAGAGGAAGGUCCCCCACAUUGGAACUGAGACACGGUCCAAACUCCUACGGGAGGCAGCAGUGAGGAAUAUUGGUCAAUGGACGAGAGUCUGAACCAGCCAAGUAGCGUGAAGGAUGACUGCCCUAUGGGUUGUAAACUUCUUUUAUAAGGGAAUAAAGUGAGGGACGUGUCCCUUUUUGUAUGUACCUUAUGAAUAAGGAUCGGCUAACUCCGUGCCAGCAGCCGCGGUAAUACGGAGGAUCCAAGCGUUAUCCGGAUUUAUUGGGUUUAAAGGGAGCGUAGGUUGACAUAUAAGUCAGCUGUGAAAGUUUACGGCUCAACCGUGAAAUUGCAGUUGAUACUGUAUGUCUUGAGUGUACAAGAGGUGGGCGGAAUUCGUGGUGUAGCGGUGAAAUGCUUAGAUAUCACGAAGAACUCCGAUUG
rnacentral:rRNA from 2 species